CUAGCGACUUCAGAGUUUGAUCCUGGCUCAGGACGAACGCUGGCGGCGUGCCUAACACAUGCAAGUCGAACGGAAGUAAGAGCUUCGGUUUUUACUUUAGUGGCGAACGGGUGAGUAACGCGUGAGAAACCUGCCUCUCAGUGGGGGACAACAGUUGGAAACGACUGCUAAUACCGCAUAACACUUUAGUACCACAUGGUACAGAAGUCAAAGCUUUAUGUGCUGAGAGAUGGUCUCGCGUCUGAUUAGCUAGAUGGCGGGGUAACGGCCCACCAUGGCGACGAUCAGUAGCCGGUCUGAGAGGAUGAACGGCCACAUUGGGACUGAGAUACGGCCCAG
rnacentral:rRNA from 1 species